rnacentral:rRNA from 1 species
UGGGGAAUCUUGCGCAAUGCGCGAAAGCGUGACGCAGCAACGCCGCGUGAGGGAAGAAGGCCUUCGGGUUGUAAACCUCUUUCAGAAGGGACGAAGGGUCGGCCGCGAAUAGCGAGCCGGCUUGACGGUACCUUCAGAAGAAGCCCCGGCUAACUACGUGCCAGCAGCCGCGGUAAUACGUAGGGGGCAAGCGUUGUCCGGAAUCAUUGGGCGUAAAGCGCGCGUAGGCGGCUCGAUCAGUCUGCUGUGAAAGUCAAAGGCUCAACCUUUGAAUGCCGGUGGAUACUGUCGAGCUAGAGUCCGGAAGAGGCGGGUGGAAUUCCUGGUGUAGCGGUGGAAUGCGCAGAUAUCAGGAGGAACACCAACGGCGAAGGCAGCCCGCUGGGACGGUACUGACGCUAAGGCGCGAAAGCGUGGGGAGCAAACAG